rnacentral:rRNA from 1 species
ACGGGUGAGUAACGCGUGGGAAUCUACCGUACCCUACGGAAUAGCUCUGGGAAACUGGAAGUAAUACCGUAUACGCCCUAACGGGGAAAGACUUAUCGGGGUAUGAUGAGCCCGCGUUGGAUUAGCUAGUUGGUGGGGUAAAGGCCUACCAAGGCGACGAUCCAUAGCUGGUCUGAGAGGAUGAUCAGCCACAUUGGGACUGAGACACGGCCCAAACUCCUACGGGAGGCAGCAGUGGGGAAUAUUGGACAAUGGGGGCAACCCUGAUCCAGCCAUGCCGCGUGAGUGAUGAAGGUCUUAGGAUUGUAAAGCUCUUUCAACGGUGAAGAUAAUGACGGUAACCGUAGAAGAAGCCCCGGCUAACUUCGUGCCAGCAGCCGCGGUAAUACGAAGGGGGCUAGCGUUGUUCGGAAUUACUGGGCGUAAAGCGCACGUAGGCGGGUAUUUAAGUCAGGGGUGAAAUCCCGCAGCUCAACUGCGGAACUGCCUUUGAUACUGGGUAUCUUGAGUAUGGAAGAGGUAAGUGGAAUUGCGAGUGUAGAGGUGAAAUUCGUAGA